ACCUGAGUGGCUCAGUGGUUAAAGCCUCUGCCUUCGGCUCAGGUCAUGAUCCCAGGGUCGUGGGAUCAAGUCCCACAUCGGGCU
rnacentral:tRNA from 1 species